rnacentral:rRNA from 1 species
UACGUAGGGUGCGAGCGUUGUCCGGAAUUACUGGGCGUAAAGGGCUCGUAGGUGGCCAACUAAGUCAGACGUGAAAUCCCUCGGCUUAACCGGGGAACUGCGUCUGAUACUGGAUGGCUUGAGUUCGGGAGAGGGAUGCGGAAUUCCAGGUGUAGCGGUGAAAUGCGUAGAUAUCUGGAGGAACACCGGUGGCGAAGGCGGCAUCCUGGACCGAUACUGACACUGAGGAGCGAAAGCCAGGGGAGCAAACGGG